ensembl:lncRNA
UAAACAUAAACAUUCCCAGAACCAAACCAGAAAGACCUAUAUCUCCUGUCAGAGACUACCUGAUUACGUAGGGAAAAAGGAAACAUAUGUUUUCCCGCAAGUUGCUUGUCAGCUAAUAGAACAGACAGAACAGAUUCCGUUCUACUAACUUAUCAACUAAUACAUGUCUCAGAUCAGAUACUACACAAUUGCAAGAUACAGCAGCCGGGACAGCGUCACCAUAACCAUGACAACAAGUAAACACUGUGUCAGUUACCUGUGUUGCAGGCCAAGCCUUCUCUCCUUUAACCUAGGCAGGUUGCGGUGUCGGCGGCCGGCAGAAUCGGGUCGGUAACACCUGCAACAAUUCAAAAAACUGAACACGUUUUUUUGCUCAUUUGAACAAACUUUUUCACUCAUAGCACACAUUUUUCAAAAAGUGAACACUAGGAAGCAGAAUUGGGACACUGUUCCAACACUGCUGUCACAAUUAAGACACAACAGGUCAAAACUGAAAACACUUUUGCCAAUGAAGUGCACACUAUAAAACCUGCUGGGAAAUAGCAUUAGCUGUUUAGAAUGGAUGUCAGAGUAGCACGAGAUCAUGUUGGAAGAAGAGGACGUGAACGACCCAGAACACAGCCAGAACCAGAACCUGGACCUGCCCAUGCACCUGAUCCUGGACCACUUUACAUGAGAGUUUUUCAGUUGGAUUCUGAUGAUACACAUGAAUACAACUAUGUGGAUGAGGCUGGUUUCAUCCUGGCCAAGAGGAAAAGCGGGAGACACAUCAUUGGACAACGGGCUAUAGUCAGCGUGGGGGCAACGUAACCCUCUGUGCUGCAAUAAGCAAUCUUGGAGUAAUUGACCGUUACGCAGUUCUGGGCCCAUAGAACACCCAGCAUUUGUUGACUUUCCUAGAUGGACUUGGUGAGGGACUACUGACAUGGGUGCAGCAGGGCAUUUGGUGAAAAGACACAGUUUUUGUUGUCUGGGACAAAGUAAGUUUUCAUAGAAGACUACUGAUUCACGAAUGGUUUGAUAUGAAC